rnacentral:rRNA from 1 species
AACGCUGGCGGCGUGCUUAACACAUGCAAGUCGAACGGGAAUUACUUUAUUGAAACUUCGGUCGAUUUAAUUUAAUUCUAGUGGCGGACGGGUGAGUAACGCGUGGGUAACCUGCCUUGUACAGGGGGAUAACAGUCAGAAAUGACUGCUAAUACCGCAUAAGCGCACAGAGCUGCAUGGCUCAGUGUGAAAAACUCCGGUGGUAUAAGAUGGACCCGCGUUGGAUUAGCUAGUUGGUGAGGUAACGGCCCACCAAGGCGACGAUCCAUAGCCGGCCUGAGAGGGUGAACGGCCACAUUGGGACUGAGACACGGCCCAGACUCCUACGGGAGGCAGCAGUGGGGAAUAUUGCACAAUGGGGGAAACCCUGAUGCAGCGACGCCGCGUGAAGGAAGAAGUAUCUCGGUAUGUAAACUUCUAUCAGCAGGGGAAGAAAAUGACGGUACCUGACUAAGAAGCCCCGGCUAACUACGUGCCAGCAGCCGCGGUAAUACGUAGGGGGGCAAG